rnacentral:rRNA from 1 species
UACGUAGGGUGCGAGCGUUAAUCGGAAUUACUGGGCGUAAAGCGUGCGCAGGCGGUCUGUUAAGACCGAUGUGAAAUACCCGGGCUUAACCUGGGAACUGCAUUGGUGACUGGCAGGCUUUGAGUGUGGCAGAGGGAGGUAGAAUUCCACGUGUAGCAGUGAAAUGCGUAGAGAUGUGGAGGAAUACCGAUGGCGAAGGCAGCCUCCUGGGCCAACACUGACGCUCAUGCACGAAAGCGUGGGGAGCAAACAGG